rnacentral:tRNA from 1 species
GUCCCUGUAGCUCAGUUGGAUAGAGCGUCUGCCUUCUAAGCAGAAAGUCGUGGGUUCGAAUCCCUCCAGGGACGCCA